GGCAAUCACAGAAGUAUUAAGGAAGCACAGGGGUAUAAAAAUCCAGUGUAGAAUCUGUACCGUGUACAACACACAUCUGUCACCAGCAGACAACACCAAAGACCAUGGUCUCCGAUGAAGACUGUAAACUUAUACAGACAUCGAUAGAUGAGAAAGCCGAAACACCUGUGCAGAUGACUUACACCCCACCUCCCGGGUACUACCCAGGACCACAAGUCCAGUCUGACAGCAGACCUGUCACCAGCACACCCCAGCUCGCGGGGAUACAAUCAAAUCAUUUCAACUUAAGUAGGAAUCCCGUGGAUGUGCUGGGUACCUUCUCCCUAAAUGUUGGUAAACAUCUUCGUUUUUUAGAUAAAAGCCUAAAAAACACAAAAAUACUCAGAAAGAGGCCAACAUCGUGAGAUCACGUUAAUAUACAGAUGACUCGGCCAGUGGGGUUUGUGGCGAGGCCAGGAACUCUGGUGAAGAAACAGGAGCGGACCCGCGACACCACCAACAACUACUGGGCUGUAUUCGGUUUUGCCGUCUGCAUCUUCUUCGUCCUCUUGAUCAGGUUCAUGUAUUCUUAUGUCACUCAUUAAAAACCUCAGAAGAUGUCAUUCUGAGAGAGUAGUUAUAUAUUUACACAUGCUGCAUUUUGAAGUGCAUGUAUAUGUAUGUGGGCAUAGAAAUUGAGAAUAACUAUUCUUGACAUUACUUAUUGCUGGAUUGUAUUACAACAGUUGUCAGAUGUGUAGUUAUUUUCUUAUUCACACCCUUGCUGAAGCUGUGCCCUUAAAGUAAUAAAGAAUCAAUCAAUCUGAUUCAUACUGAAAUACCUCAUUUCUUAAUCUGAAUCUUGCAUUGUAGAUUUUCACUUUCCCUACUUGAAUUCUGCAUUUUUUUUCAAUUUAGUUUAUGUAGUAUGUGAACAUAAUCAAUCUCAAUUACUGUCCAUGUUUGGAUGUAAAGUAAUGAUGUUGCUGUACAUAUUACAUAUUUAUACCAUUGGAAGUUAAUUGUAUUUCUUUCCACACUACAGUUUAUGAAAAUGCUAAUGAUGGCUGCUGUUGUUCCCCUUGAAAUGGACUCAGACCUACUCAAUAAAAAU